GAGGAUAACAAGCAGUUAGCAGCCUCUUGUUCCAUGUCCCUGUGCGAAAGUAUGGCAAGAAAACAAAUCGAGUGCGGUAUAUAAUUAAUCUCCCACCAAUCUCAUGUUUUUGUUAGCGCUGAAAUGUGUCUCAGUGAGCACAAAGUUAGUGUGAUGUUAUAGUGCGGUGUGGAUGUGAGGGCGUGAGGUGGGCGUGUGUCAGCCAAAGGAAGGGCAGCACAUUCGAAGACAGCCGAGGUGAUCCCACACCAGCUGAACAAAUCCUCGGCCUUUUGUCUUAUGGCGGCGGGCGAGUGUGGUUCCUUGUGUGUGCGUGCGUGCGUGCGUGGCGUCUUGGUUAGUGUAGUGAUAGUGUGUUGAUCCUAUUGAAUGCGUCUUCCUCGCGUUGGAUUUGGUGAGUACCCGUAUCACAGGUCACACCGUGGGACUGACACCGCUGGAGCAACCCUUCGGAAUAAAGUCAAGUACAAAUUACGGUUUGCUAGGCGUUAGGUGUUAGGCAUAGGGCGAUAGGCGGCGCGGCUAACCAUUCUCUUCCAGGUACAAACUAACCUUCUCUUCCAGGUACAUGUUAAUUAUCUAGUCUUCCCCAGUAAUGCCCUGGUUAGCGCACCGUGGCGGCGAUCCAGGAGCCUCGUGCUGGUGGCGUGGCUGGCUGGCUGGCUGUGGCGGGCGUGCACGUGCUAUCAUAUGGGUUGCGUGGUAGGUGCGUUCACUGGUCUGGGCUGUGUUGGUGCGUGUUCUGAAGAGAUGACCGCAGACACGCUGGCUGAGGCAAUAGUGUGUCACUGAAGUAGCGCGCCAAACACCACCACCAUCACCACCAC